rnacentral:tRNA from 1 species
UCCCUUGUGACUCAGCUGGUAAAGAACCCGCCUGCAAUGCGGGAGACCUGGGUUCAAUCCCUGGAUUGGGAA